AAACUGCGACAAGUAAUGUGAACUGCAUUAUCUGUGAAUCAUCGAGUCUUUGAACGCAUCUUGCACUCUGCUUUGCAGAGUAUGUCUGUUCGAGCAUUGGAACUUUAUAUGCUACCACAGGUGGUGUGUUGACUGUACAAUUGUUGGCGGUUGAAAAGCAUGGGGAGAAUAGAAUAUGUGGUGGUCAAUCCAGUUCAUAUAACCCCUUAAAACUUCACCGAUCUCGAAUCAGACAAGACUACCCGCCGAACUUAA
rnacentral:misc_RNA from 1 species